CGUCCGGUCAGAAUGGGGACGUUAAAUCCGAUGUCUCUUGUAAAGAGAGUGCCACGCUCUUUGCACGUUAAGAACCCUUACAACAACUCUUUGAGGGCCCGUAGGUGGCCUGUUGUAAGGCAAAAUUUCUGUCCCUAUCCAAUAUUACCUCAUUUUCCAGUGGCAGUCGAAAUUUCCCCGACCAUCAUCCCUUAUGGCCUCUGUUAUGGCAAGACCUAACUAUUGUAUUUAUUGUGAACUUGUUCUCGUCCUGAAUAUGCAUGAAAUAUUUGCCACUGGACGUUAAGCAACC
rnacentral:lncRNA from 1 species